AAUGAACGCUGGCGGCAGGCCUAACACAUGCAAGUCGAACGGAUCCUUCGGGAUUAGUGGCGGACGGGUGAGUAACGCGUGGGAACAUACCCUUUGGUACGGAAUAGCCUCGGGAAACUGGGAGUAAUACCGUAUGUGGUCGAGAGACGAAAGAUUUAUCGCCAAAGGGUUGGCCCGCGUUGGAUUAGGUAGUUGGUGGGGUAAUGGCCUACCAAGCCGACGAUCCAUAGCUGGUUUGAGAGGAUGGUCAGCCACACUGGGACUGAGACACGGCCCAGACUCCUACGGGAGGCAGCAGUGGGGAAUCUUAGACAAUGGGGGAAACCCUGAUCUAGCCAUGCCGCGUGAUCGAUGAAGGCCUUAGGGUUGUAAAGAUCUUUCAGGUGGGAAGAUAAUGACUGUACCACCAGAAGAAGCCCCGGCUAACUCCGUGCCAGCCGCCGCGGUAA
rnacentral:rRNA from 1 species